rnacentral:tRNA from 1 species
UAGACAUAGUUUAAACAAAACAUUAGAUUGUGAAUCUAAUAAUAGAAACUGAACCUUUCUUGUCUA